UUGUCUCUUCCAGGUCAAGAUCUUAAGUCAGGAGAUUUGUGGGAGGGCUCUGGCCACGGUCUUGUGAAAGGGUUGCACCACUCCUGGCACAAUGUGAGCUGAGGCUGGGAGUUGCAGGGCUCACCCACCCUGCUGGUAUGGAGGUUUGGGGAGACUCUCAAGUCUGCGAAGGUGACCUAAGGAAACUGAGGUCUGGGAACCCAAACGAGGGCUACCAUUGAAGUAUGAACAGUAGGGGCAUCACCGCAAUGGUCCACAGGUGUCCUGCAGACUGCGGGACGAGUUUUCAGCAGUGAUACUGGGGGGCAGCAGCAGAGGCAAAGAUGGCAGCAGAAUCUACUUGCCUGGUGUGGGGAGGACUCAAGAUGGAUGGAGGUACUGACUUUCCUGGUAACAGGAGCUUGUAGACAUGUGACUGGACAUUCAGAGAUGUGAUUCCUUUGUAUGCCAAGAAGGUGAAGCAGUUUACUGUUCUUCUCCAUGCACUUAGCAAUA
rnacentral:lncRNA from 10 species